CUACGGGCCGCAGCAGUGGGGAAUAUUGGACAAUGGGGGAAACCCUGAUCCAGCAAUGCCGCGUGUGUGAAGAAGGCCUGCGGGUUGUAAAGCACUUUCGGUUGGGAGGACUGCUUCUAGCACUAAUAUUGUUGGAAGUUGACGUUACCUUCAGAAGAAGCACCGGCUAACUCCGUGCCAGCAGCCGCGGUAAUACGGAGGGUGCAAGCGUUAAUCGGAAUUACCGGGCGUAAAGCGCGCGUAGGCGGCUAGAUCAGUCGGGUGUGAAAGCCCCGGGCUUAACCUGGGAACUGCAUCCGAUACUGUCUAGCUUGAGUACAGGAGAGGAGAGUGGAAUUCCACAUGUAGCGGUGAAAUGCGUAGAUAUGUGGAGGAACACCAAUGGCGAAGGCAGCUCUCUGGCCUGAUACUGACGCUGAGGUGGGAAAGCGUGGGGAGCAAACAGGAUUAGAUACCCGAGUAGUC
rnacentral:rRNA from 1 species